rnacentral:rRNA from 1 species
UACGGAGGGGGCUAGCGUUGUUCGGAAUUACUGGGCGUAAAGCGCGCGUAGGCGGCUGGAUAAGUCGAUUGUGAAAGCCCCGGGCUCAACCUGGGAAUUGCAGUCGAGACUGUUCGGCUAGAGUGUGGGAGAGGGCAGUGGAAUUCCCGGUGUAGCGGUGAAAUGCGUAGAUAUCGGGAGGAACAUCAGUGGCGAAGGCGACUGCCUGGCCCAACACUGACGCUGAGGUGCGAAAGCGUGGGUAGCAAACAGG